GAUGAACGCUGGCGGCGUGCCUAAUACAUGCAAGUCGAGCGAACAGACGAGGAGCUUGCUCCUCUGACGUUAGCGGCGGACGGGUGAGUAACACGUGGAUAACCUACCUAUAAGACUGGGAUAACUUAGGGAAACCGGAGCUAAUACCGGAUAAUAUAUUGAACCGCAUGGUUCAAUAGUGAAAGACGGUUUUGCUGUCACUUAUAGAUGGAUCCGCGCCGCAUUAGCUAGUUGGUAAGGUAACGGCUUACCAAGGCAACGAUGCAUAGCCGACCUGAGAGGGUGAUCGGCCACACUGGAACUGAAACACGGUCCAGACUCCUACGGGAGGCAGCAGUAGGGAAUCUUCCGCAAUGGGCGAAAGCCUGACGGAGCAACGCCGCGUGAGUGAUGAAGGUCUUCGGAUCGUAAAACUCUGUUAUUAGGGAAGAACAAAUGUGUAAGUAACUAUGCACGUCUUGACGGUACCUAAUCAGAAAGCCACGGCUAACUACGUG
rnacentral:rRNA from 1 species